rnacentral:rRNA from 1 species
GAUGAACGCUGGCGGCGUGCCUAAUACAUGCAAGUCGAGCGAACAGACGAGGAGCUUGCUCCUUUGACGUUAGCGGCGGACGGGUGAGUAACACGUAGGUAACCUACCUAUAAGACUGGGAAAACUUCGGGAAACCGGAGCUAAUACCGGAUAAUAUUUCGAACCGCAUGGUUAGAUAGUGAAAGAUGGCUUUGCUAUCACUUAUAGAUGGACCUGCGCCGUAUUAGCUAGUUGGUAAGGUAACGGCUUACCAAGGCAACGAUACGUAGCCGACCUGAGAGGGUGAUCGGCCACACUGGAACUGAGACACGGUCCAGACUCCUACGGGAGGCAGCAGUAGGGAAUCUUCCGCAAUGGGCGAAAGCCUGACGGAGCAACGCCGCGUGAGUGAUGAAGGUCUUCGGAUCGUAAAACUCUGUUAUUAGGGAAGAACAAACGUGUAAGUAACUGUGCACGUCUUGACGGUACCUAAUCAGAAAGCCACGGCUAACUACGUG